AAGAAGUCAGGCCGGAUUAAGCCAUAGUACGGUAAGAGCUAUGCUGCCUGUGAGCCCCGUCCAAGGACGUAAAAUGAAGUCAGGCCGAAAGCCACGGCUUGAGCAAACCGUGCUGCCUGUAGCUCCAUCGUGGGGAUGUAAAAACCUGGGAGGCUGCAACCCAUGGAAGCUGUACGCAUGGGG
rnacentral:lncRNA from 1 species